rnacentral:rRNA from 1 species
UACGUAGGGUGCAAGCGUUAAUCGGAAUUACUGGGCGUAAAGCGUGCGCAGGCGGCUAUGCAAGACAGAUGUGAAAUCCCCGGGCUCAACCUGGGAACUGCAUUUGUGACUGCAUAGCUAGAGUACGGUAGAGGGGGAUGGAAUUCCGCGUGUAGCAGUGAAAUGCGCAGAUAUCAGGAGGAACACCAAUAGCGAAGGCAGCUCGCUGGGACGGUAACUGACGCUAAGGCGCGAAAGCGUGGGGAGCGAACAGG